AUCGCUUCUCGGCCUUUUGGCUAAGAUCAAGUGUAGUAUCUGUGAUUGAUAGGAAGGCUUGGAUUUUGCCACAUUGAGGAGCCUGUGUAAAAAUAAAUAGGAGAGCAACACUUCUAUGUAUUUUUGAACAGAGAAAAAAUAUUU
ensembl:snRNA U2 U2 spliceosomal RNA